rnacentral:rRNA from 1 species
GGUUAAGUGACUAAGCGUACAGGGCGGAUGCCUUGGCAAUCAGAGGCGAAGAAGGACGUGCUAAUCUGCGAAAAGCUUGGAUGAGUCGAUAAGAGGCGUUUAAUCCAAGAUGUCCGAAUGGGGAAACCCGAUGGAUGAAGAAUCCAUCAUUUCAUUGUGAAUACAUAGCAAUGAAAGGCGAACCGGGAGAACUGAAACAUCUAAGUACCCCGAGGAAAAGAAAUCAACCGAGAUUCUGUGAGUAGCGGCGAGCGAAAGCGGAAGAGCCAGUAAGUUUUAGCUAGUGUAUUAGAGGAAUUGGCUGGGAAGCCAAAUCAAAGAGGGUGAUAAUCCCGUACUCGAAAAUACGAUAGUGGAACUAAGCUUACGAUAAGUAGGGCGGGACACGAGAAAUCCUGUUUGAAGAUGGGGGGACCAUCCUCCAAGGCUAAAUACUCCUGAUUGACCGAUAGUGAACCAGUACUGUGAAGGAAAGGCGAAAAGAACCCCGGUGAGGGGAGUGAAAUAGAACCUGAAACCCUGUACGUACAAGCAGUAGGAGCCUGAAAGGGUGACUGCGUACCUUUUGUAUAAUGGGUCAGCGACUUAUAUUUUGUAGCGAGGUUAACUGAAUAAGGGAGCCGAAGGGAAACCGAGUCUUAACUGGGCGUUGAGUUGCAAGGUAUAGACCCGAAACCCGGUGAUCUAGCCAUGGGCAGGUUGAAGGUUGGGUAACACUAACUGGAGGACCGAACCGACUAAUGUUGAAAAAUUAGCGGAUGACUUGUGGCUGGGGGUGAAAGGCCAAUCAAACCGGGAGAUAGCUGGUUCUCCCCGAAAUCUAUUUAGGUAGAGCCUUGAGCGGACACCUUCGGGGGUAGAGCACUGUUUCGGCUAGGGGUCCAUCCCGGAUUACCAACCCGAUGCAAACUGCGAAUACCGAAGAGUGAUACUCAGGAGACACACGGCGGGUGCUAACGUUCGUCGUGGAGAGGGAAACAACCCAGACCGCCAGCUAAGGUCCCAAAGUCUAUAUUAAGUGGGAAACGAAGUGGGAAGGCUUAGACAGCUAGGAUGUUGGCUUAGAAGCAGCCAUCAUUUAAAGAAAGCGUAAUAGCUCACUAGUCGAGUCGGCCUGCGCGGAAGAUGUAACGGGGCUCAAAUAUAGCACCGAAGCUGCGGCAUCAGAAUUUAUUCUGUUGGGUAGGGGAGCGUUGUGUAAGCGGAAGAAGGUGGCUCGAGAGGGUUGCUGGACGUAUCACAAGUGCGAAUGCUGACAUAAGUAACGAUAAAACGAGUGAAAAACUCGUUCGCCGGAAGACCAAGGGUUCCUGUCCAACGUUAAUCGGGGCAGGGUGAGUCGGCCCCUAAGGCGAGGCUGAAAAGCGUAGUCGAUGGGAAACGGGUUAAUAUUCCCGUACUUGGUAAAGCUGCGAUGUGGGGACGGAGAAGGUUAGGUAAGCGGACUGUUGGAAAUGUCCGUUUAAGUUGGUAGUUGGGAGCGGUAGGCAAAUCCGCUGCUCCAUUCAACAACGAGAGAUGAUGACGAGGCUCUACGGAGCUGAAGUUACCGAUACCCGGCUUCCAGGAAAAGCCACUAAGCGAAAGGCUUUAUUAAACCGUACUGAAAACCGACACAGGUGGUCAGGUAGAGAAUACUCAGGCGCUUGAGAGAACUCGGGUGAAGGAACUAGGCAAAAUAGCACCGUAACUUCGGGAGAAGGUGCGCUUACAGUAAUUGUAGUCCCUUGCGGAUGAAGGUGAAGUAAGUCGAAGAUACCAGCUGGCUGCAACUGUUUAUUAAAAACACAGCACUCUGCAAACACGAAAGUGGACGUAUAGGGUGUGAUGCCUGCCCGGUGCUGGAAGGUUAAUUGAUGGUGUUAUCGAAAGAGAAGCUCCUGAUCGAAGCCCCAGUAAACGGCGGCCGUAACUAUAACGGUCCUAAGGUAGCGAAAUUCCUUGUCGGGUAAGUUCCGACCUGCACGAAUGGCAUAAUGAUGGCCAGGCUGUCUCCACCCGAGACUCAGUGAAAUUGAAAUCGCCGUGAAGAUGCGGUGUACCCGCGGCUAGACGGAAAGACCCCGUGAACCUUUACUAUAGCUUGACACUGAACAUUGAAUUUUGAUGUGUAGGAUAGGUGGGAGCCUUUGAAGCAGUGACGCCAGUCAUUGUGGAGGCGACCUUGAAAUACCACCCUUUAACGUUUGAUGUUCUAACGAAGUGCCUGAAACGGGUACUCGGACAGUGUCUGGUGGGUAGUUUGACUGGGGCGGUCUCCUCCCAAAGCGUAACGGAGGAGCACGAAGGUUUGCUAAUGACGGUCGGACAUCGUCAGGUUAGUGCAAUGGUAUAAGCAAGCUUAACUGCGAGACGGACAAGUCGAGCAGGUGCGAAAGCAGGUCAUAGUGAUCCGGUGGUUCUGAAUGGAAGGGCCAUCGCUCAACGGAUAAAAGGUACUCCGGGGAUAACAGGCUGAUACCGCCCAAGAGUUCAUAUCGACGGCGGUGUUUGGCACCUCGAUGUCGGCUCAUCACAUCCUGGGGCUGAAGUAGGUCCCAAGGGUAUGGCUGUUCGCCAUUUAAAGUGGUACGCGAGCUGGGUUUAGAACGUCGUGAGACAGUUCGGUCCCUAUCUGCCGUGGGCGUUGGAUGAUUGAUUGGGGCUGCUCCUAGUACGAGAGGACCGGAGUGGACGCAUCACUGGUGUUCCAGUUGUCUCGCCAGAGGCAUUGCUGGGUAGCUAAAUGCGGAAGAGAUAAGUGCUGAAAGCAUCUAAGCACGAAACUUGCCAAGAGAUGAGUCAUCCCUGACUUUAAGUCAGUAAGGGUUGUUUAAGACUAAGACGUAGAUAGGUUGGGUGUGUAAGUGUAGUGAUACAUUGAGCUAACCAAUACUAAUUGCCCGAGAGGCUUAACCAU